rnacentral:rRNA from 1 species
AUUGAACGCUGGCGGCAGGCCUAACACAUGCAAGUCGAACGAGUGGCGGACGGGUGAGUAAUGUCUGGGAAACUGCCUGAUGGAGGGUGAUCACUACUGGAAACGGUAGCUAAUACCGCAUACCAUCAGAUGUGCCCAGAUGGGCUUAGCUUGUUGGUGGGGUAACGGCUCACCAGGGCGACGAUCCCGAGCUGGUCUGAGAGGAUGACCGGCCACACUGGAACUGGGACACGGUCCAGAGGCCUACGGCAGGGAGCAGUGGGGAAUGUUGCACAAUGGGCGCGAGCCUGAUGCAGCGAUGCCGAGUGUAUGAAGAAGGCCUUCGGGUUGUAAAGUACUUGCAGCGGGUAGGCGUUACCCGGAGAAGAAGCACCGGCUAACUACGUGCCAGCAGCCGCGGUAAUAC